rnacentral:rRNA from 1 species
GAUUAAGUUAUUAAGGGCGCACGGUGGAUGCCUUGGCACUAGAAGCCGAUGAAGGACGUUACUAACGACGAUAUGCUUUGGGGAGCUGUAAGUAAGCUUUGAUCCAGAGAUUUCCGAAUGGGGAAACCCAGCAUGAGUUAUGUCAUGUUAUCGAUAUGUGAAUACAUAGCAUAUCAGAAGGCACACCCGGAGAACUGAAACAUCUUAGUACCCGGAGGAAGAGAAAGAAAAUUCGAUUCCCUUAGUAGCGGCGAGCGAAACGGGAAGAGCCCAAACCAACAAGCUUGCUUGUUGGGGUUGUAGGACACUCUAUACGGAGUUACAAAGGACGACAUUAGACGAAUCAUCUGGAAAGAUGAAUCAAAGAAGGUAAUAAUCCUGUAGUCGAAAAUGUUGUCUCUCUUGAGUGGAUCCUGAGUACGACGGAGCACGUGAAAUUCCGUCGGAAUCUGGGAGGACCAUCUCCUAAGGCUAAAUACUCUCUAGUGACCGAUAGUGAACCAGUACCGUGAGGGAAAGGUGAAAAGCACCCCGGAAGGGGAGUGAAAUAGAACCUGAAACCGUGUGCUUACAAGUAGUCAGAGCCCGUUAAUGGGUGAUGGCGUGCCUUUUGUAGAAUGAACCGGCGAGUUACGAUUUGAUGCAAGGUUAAGCAGUAAAUGUGGAGCCGUAGCGAAAGCGAGUCUGAAUAGGGCGUUUAGUAUUUGGUCGUAGACCCGAAACCAGGUGAUCUACCCUUGGUCAGGUUGAAGUUCAGGUAACACUGAAUGGAGGACCGAACCGACUUACGUUGAAAAGUGAGCGGAUGAACUGAGGGUAGCGGAGAAAUUCCAAUCGAACCUGGAGAUAGCUGGUUCUCUCCGAAAUAGCUUUAGGGCUAGCCUCAAGUGAUGAUUAUUGGAGGUAGAGCACUGUUUGGACGAGGGGCCCCUCUCGGGUUACCGAAUUCAGACAAACUCCGAAUGCCAAUUAAUUUAACUUGGGAGUCAGAACAUGGGUGAUAAGGUCCGUGUUCGAAAGGGAAACAGCCCAGACCACCAGCUAAGGUCCCAAAAUAUAUGUUAAGUGGAAAAGGAUGUGGCGUUGCCCAGACAACUAGGAUGUUGGCUUAGAAGCAGCCAUCAUUUAAAGAGUGCGUAAUAGCUCACUAGUCGAGUGACACUGCGCCGAAAAUGUACCGGGGCUAAACAUAUUACCGAAGCUGUGGAUUGUCCUUUGGACAAUGGUAGGAGAGCGUUCUAAGGGCGUUGAAGCAUGAUCGUAAGGACAUGUGGAGCGCUUAGAAGUGAGAAUGCCGGUGUGAGUAGCGAAAGACGGGUGAGAAUCCCGUCCACCGAUUGACUAAGGUUUCCAGAGGAAGGCUCGUCCGCUCUGGGUUAGUCGGGUCCUAAGCUGAGGCCGACAGGCGUAGGCGAUGGAUAACAGGUUGAUAUUCCUGUACCACCUAUAAUCGUUUUAAUCGAUGGGGGGACGCAGUAGGAUAGGCGAAGCGUGCGAUUGGAUUGCACGUCUAAGCAGUAAGGCUGAGUAUUAGGCAAAUCCGGUACUCGUUAAGGCUGAGCUGUGAUGGGGAGAAGACAUUGUGUCUUCGAGUCGUUGAUUUCACACUGCCGAGAAAAGCCUCUAGAUAGAAAAUAGGUGCCCGUACCGCAAACCGACACAGGUAGUCAAGAUGAGAAUUCUAAGGUGAGCGAGCGAACUCUCGUUAAGGAACUCGGCAAAAUGACCCCGUAACUUCGGGAGAAGGGGUGCUCUUUAGGGUUAACGCCCAGAAGAGCCGCAGUGAAUAGGCCCAAGCGACUGUUUAUCAAAAACACAGGUCUCUGCUAAACCGUAAGGUGAUGUAUAGGGGCUGACGCCUGCCCGGUGCUGGAAGGUUAAGAGGAGUGGUUAGCUUCUGCGAAGCUACGAAUCGAAGCCCCAGUAAACGGCGGCCGUAACUAUAACGGUCCUAAGGUAGCGAAAUUCCUUGUCGGGUAAGUUCCGACCCGCACGAAAGGCGUAACGAUUUGGGCACUGUCUCAACGAGAGACUCGGUGAAAUCAUAGUACCUGUGAAGAUGCAGGUUACCCGCGACAGGACGGAAAGACCCCGUGGAGCUUUACUGUAGCCUGAUAUUGAAAUUCGGCACAGCUUGUACAGGAUAGGUAGGAGCCUUUGAAACGUGAGCGCUAGCUUACGUGGAGGCGCUGGUGGGAUACUACCCUAGCUGUGUUGGCUUUCUAACCCGCACCACUUAUCGUGGUGGGAGACAGUGUCAGGCGGGCAGUUUGACUGGGGCGGUCGCCUCCUAAAAGGUAACGGAGGCGCUCAAAGGUUCCCUCAGAAUGGUUGGAAAUCAU